CCGCGUGCAGGAUGAAGGCCUUCGGGUCGUAAACUGCUUUUAUAUGUGAAAAUUAUGAUGGUAACAUGUGAAUAAGGAUUGGCUAACUCCGUGCCAGCAGCCGCGGUCAUACGGAGGAUCCAAGCGUUAUCCGGAAUUACUGGGCGUAAAGAGUUGCGUAGGUGGCGUAGUAAGCGAAUAGUGAAAGCGUAUGGCUCAACCAUAUAAACAUUAUUCGAACUGCUAAGCUAGAAGAUGAGAGAGGUACCUGGAAUUCCUAGUGUAGGAGUGAAAUCCGUAGAUAUUAGGAGGAACACCAAUGGCGUAGGCAGGGUACUGGCUUAUUCUUGACACUAAGGCACGAAAGCGUGGGGAGCAAACGGGAUUAGAUACCCCGGUAGUCCACGCCGUAAACUAUGGAUGCUAGCUGUUGUCGGUAUCGACCCCGAUAGUAGCGAAGCUAACGCGUUAAGCAUCCCGCCUGUGGAGUACGGUCGCAAGACUAAAACAUAAAGGAAUUGACGGGGACCCGCACAAGCGGUGGAGCGUGUUGUUUAAUUCGAUAGUAAGCGAAGAACCUUACCCAGGCUUGACAUCCUGCGAAUUUCUCCGAAAGGAGAGAAUGCUUAAUUGAGGCGGCG
rnacentral:rRNA from 1 species